rnacentral:rRNA from 1 species
UACGGAGGGAGCUAGCGUUGUUCGGAAUUACUGGGCUUAAAGCGCGCGUAGGCGGCUUUGUAAGUUAGAGGUGAAAGCCCGGGGCUCAACUCCGGAAUUGCCUUUAAGACUGCAUCGCUAGAAUCCGGGAGAGGUGAGUGGAAUUCCGAGUGUAGAGGUGAAAUUCGUAGAUAUUCGGAAGAACACCAGUGGCGAAGGCGGCUCACUGGACCGGUAUUGACGCUGAGGUGCGAAAGCGUGGGGAGCAAACAGG